UUUUUGCCCCAAGUGAGGCUGCCAGCGGGCAAUAGUGUAGAGGGCAUCAGGGUUGGUGGCACAUGGAGGAGUGUAAAGAAGAGAACUUCCCCCAGAUUGCAGGAAGCCCACUGUCUGGUGUAGAGCCAGGAGUCAGCUUGGCAAAGAGAGAUCCGCCCAAACCAGAUCUGGGAUUCCAGGGCUGUCAAUGAUGCUGAUGUUCUUCAGGACCUGAUUGGGCAGCUGGGAGCACAUGAAUCUGGAAAAAAGGGAUCAAAGGCGGGAUCAGGAAUUACACAUCUCCAAGCUCUGAGGAGCUCCCUGGCCUCUCAAGGGCAUAACAUCCUACAAGAGAACUGUGUCCAGGAGUUCGGGGCAUUGAUCUGCAGUUAAGUGAGCGGUGGCCCAUGAUGGAACAAAUGACUGGUGAAGAGCAAAGGAUGCAGUGGGCACCUGGGAAGACCGUGUAAUUUCCAAAUUAGGAAACGGACACUCAGAAGGUUCUUGUUGGGGAGUCCUCUCACUGAAGCCACAAAGUACUAACAGCAGCAAUAAGAGACAGACCCCUCCAAUGGAAGCUGCCUUCUCUUCUAUGAAACUUUUGCUAGUUGCCUCUCCAGCUUCAGAAACAGAGACUGUUGCCAGCAAUUUUCACCUAUCUACUAAAAUCUAAAAGGUCCAGGCAGCUACAGCAAAAGCAGGGGUUCCUACUCUCAAGCAGAGCUUUCAGAAUGCCUGGGAGUCUCCUUCUGACAACGAUAUGGAAUGCCUGGAACCAGUGAAAGAGAUUGGAAGCCCUACCUACCACCCACAGCAGGCAAGACUUAAA